rnacentral:rRNA from 1 species
AGCAGCCGCCACGGGAAUACGUAGGGUGCGAGCGUUAAUCGGAAUUACUGGGCGUAAAGCGUGCGCAGGCGGUUGUGUAAGACAGGUGUGAAAUCCCCGGGCUUAACCUGGAACUGCGCUUGUGACUGCACAGCUAGAGUAUGGCAGAGGGGGGUGGAAUUCCACGUGUAGCAGUGAAAUGCGUAGAGGUGUGGAGGAACACCGAUGGCGAAGGCAGCCCCCUGGGCCAAUACUGACGCUCAUGCACGAAAGCGUGGGGAGCAAACAGGAUUAGAUACCCCAGUAGUCCCUGUCUCUUAUACC